CUCUCUUUAUUCCAGCUGCUUUCCGCCAAGUGGAGGAUUUCUCCCCAGAGUGGUGGCAAUUGAUUACCACUUCAACAUGGUUCCGUGAUUACUGGCUCAGCCAGCACCAGGAGGGGGAUAUUUUUAAUUGUAAUAAUGCUGAUGAUGAAUUUGAUGCCAAUGACAUUGCUGACCUGCUGCCAGAUGCAUUUGACUUUGGCACGGAGGAAGACUUCUCACACAUGGAAGCCCAGUUUGAGGAGUUCAUUCAAUCUUCAGAAGCCGAAGAAGCAAAUAAACCAUCUCACCUUGCUUUGAAUGGAACGUCUGGAAAUGGUAUGGAUGAACUCUUAUUGCCACAGCGCCUGAUUUUUAUUUUCCCAUCCGGCAUUUCAAUUAUUAUAUUUUUCUGGAUUGAUUUUCAUAUCAUAUCAAGUAGUCUCUAAAGGUAUUAAGUUGGGGUUUGAGUUGCAGGUUCAGCUGUGAUGGAUGUGAAUGCACUGAUGAAAUUUACAAAUGAAAGGGGUCCCAAGUCUCUGGCAGAACCAGCAAAGUAUCAGGAGAAAGCAGGCAGGUGCAUGAGCCCAAAAUGCAGCCCUCGGCCCAUCCAGCAGCCCCGCUGAAGGGUGUCAGCUUUGCCAGGGUUCCAGUUA
rnacentral:lncRNA from 1 species